rnacentral:rRNA from 1 species
UACAGAGGGUGCGAGCGUUGUCCGGAAUCACUGGGCGUAAAGGGCGCGUAGGCGGCUCGGUCAGCGUGCGGUGAAAGCCCGGGGCUCAACCCCGGGUCGGCCGUGCGAACUGCUGGGCUGGAGCACUGUAGAGGCAGGUGGAAUUCCGGGUGUAGCGGUGGAAUGCGUAGAGAUCCGGAAGAACACCGGUGGCGAAGGCGGGUCUCUGGGCCAUUACUGACGCUGAGGAGCGAAAGCGUGGGGAGCGAACAGG